UGGGGGAUAUUGCGCAAUGGGGGAAACCCUGACGCAGCAACGCCGCGUGAAGGAAGAAGGUUUUCGGAUCGUAAACUUCUUUAAGUGUGGAAGAAGAUGACGGUACACACAGAAUAAGCCACGGCUAACUACGUGCCAGCAGCCGCGGUAAUACGUAGGUGGCGAGCGUUGUCCGGAUUUACUGGGUGUAAAGGGCGUGUAGGCGGGCUUGCAAGUCAGAUGUGAAAUACCGGGGCUUAACCCCGGAGCUGCAUUUGAAACUGUAGGUCUUGAGUAUCGGAGAGGAAAGCGGAAUUCCUAGUGUAGCGGUGAAAUGCGUAGAUAUUAGGAGGAACACCAGUGGCGAAGGCGGCUUUCUGGACGAAAACUGACGCUGAGGCGCGAAAGCAUGGGGAGCAAACAGG
rnacentral:rRNA from 1 species